UACAGAGACUGCAAGCGUUAUUCGGAUUCACUGGGCGUAAAGGGUGCGCAGGCGGCCAAGUGUGUCAGGUGUGAAAUCCCGAGGCUUAACCUCGGAACUGCGCCUGAAACUACUUGGCUAGAGUACUGGAGAGGGUAACGGAAUUCACGGUGUAGCAGUGAAAUGCGUAGAUAUCGUGAGGAACACCAGAGGCGAAGGCGGUUACCUGGACAGUUACUGAUGCUCAGGCACGAAAGCGUGGGGAGCAAAAGGG
rnacentral:rRNA from 1 species